ACGCCAUUUUUAGAGCUUGCAAAAGUCAUCUUCCAAUUCUCAACUUAUAAUAAAUCAACCCAUCGAGAAAACCUCGUGGUGUCUAAAUGACGUUUGUGACUGACAUGACUCUAAAAAACAAGA
ensembl:ncRNA T23F11.12 ncRNA